rnacentral:tRNA from 1 species
UGCGGUGGAGCUCGUGGUGGUACGGGCAGGCGGUUGUUACCCGCCCCGACGCAGGUUCGAUUCCUGCCUCCGCAGC